rnacentral:rRNA from 1 species
GAUGAACGCUGGCGGCGUGCCUAAUACAUGCAAGUCGAGCGAAUGGAUUAAGAGCUUGCUCUUAUGAAGUUAGCGGCGGACGGGUGAGUAACACGUGGGUAACCUGCCCAUAAGACUGGGAUAACUCCGGGAAACCGGGGCUAAUACCGGAUAACAUUUUGAACCGCAUGGUUCGAAAUUGAAAGGCGGCUUCGGCUGUCACUUAUGGAUGGACCCGCGUCGCAUUAGCUAGUUGGUGAGGUAACGGCUCACCAAGGCAACGAUGCGUAGCCGACCUGAGAGGGGGAUCGGCCACACUGGGACUGAGACACGGCCCAGACGCCUACGGGAGGCAGCAGUAGGGAAUCUUCCGCAAUGGACGAAAGUCUGACGGAGCAACGCCGCGUGAGUGAUGAAGGCUUUCGGGUCGUAAAACUCUGUUGUUAGGGAAGAACAAGUGCUAGUUGAAUAAGCUGGCACCUUGACGGUACCUAACCAGAAAGCCACGGCUAACUACGUGCCAGCAGCCGCCGCAG